CGGCGGACGGGUGAGUAAUGCCUAGGAAUCUGCCUGGUAGUGGGGGACAACGUUUCGAAAGGAACGCUAAUACCGCAUACGACCUACGGUGAAAGCAGGGAUCUUCGGACCUUGCGCGAUUGAAUGAGCCGAUGUCGGAUUAGCUAGUUGGCGGGGUAAAGGCCCACCAAGGCGACGAUCCGUAGCUGGUCUGAGAGGAUGAUCAGCCACACUGGAACUGAGACACGGUCCAGACUCCUACGGGAGGCAGCAGAU
rnacentral:rRNA from 1 species